rnacentral:rRNA from 1 species
UACGGGGGGUGCGAGCGUUGUCCGGAAUGACUGGGCGUAAAGGGCGCGUAGGCGGAUCUGGCAGUCGGGCGUGAAAGCCCCGGGCUCAACCCGGGAAUCGCGUUCGAGACGCCGGGUCUGGAGUGUGGGAGAGGGCCGUGGAAUUCCCAGUGUAGAGGUGAAAUUCGUAGAUAUUGGGAAGAACACCGGUGGCGAAGGCGGCGGCCUGGCCACUACUGACGCUGAGGCGCGAAAGCGUGGGGAGCAAACAGG